UACGUAGGGGGCAAGCGUUGUCCGGAAUCAUUGGGCGUAAAGGGAGCGUAGGCGGGUUAUCAAGUUGGAGGUGAAAGCCCAGGGCUCAACCUUGGAAUUGCCUUCAAAAACUGAUAACCUAGAGGAUGAUAGAGGUAAGUGGAACUCCGAGUGUAGAGGUGAAAUUCGUAGAUAUUCGGAAGAACACCAGUGGCGAAGGCGACUUACUGGAUCAUUACUGACGCUGAGGCUCGAAAGCGUGGGGAGCAAACAGG
rnacentral:rRNA from 1 species